UGGGGAAUAUUGGACAAUGGAGGGAACUCUGAUCCAGCAAUUCUGUGUGUGUGAAGAAGGUUUUAGGACUGUAAAACACUUUUAGUAGGGAAGAAAAAAAUGACGGUACCUACAGAAGAAGCAACGGCUAAAUACGUGCCAGCAGCCGCGGUAAUACGUAUGUUGCGAGCGUUAUCCGGAAUUAUUGGGCUUAAAGGGCAUCUAGGCGGUAAGACAAGUUGAAGGUGAAAACCUGUGGCUCAACUAUAGGCUUGCCUACAAAACUGUUGAACUAGAGUACUGGAAAGGUGGGUGGAACUACACGAGUAGAGGUGAAAUUCGUAGAUAUGUGUAGGAAUGCCGAUGAUGAAGAUAACUCACUGGACAGAAACUGACGCUGAAGUGCGAAAGCUAGGGGAGCAAACAGG
rnacentral:rRNA from 1 species